rnacentral:lncRNA from 1 species
AUGCUGUGGACACGCACCUCUCCCGAAACCUCACCCUGCACCCUUCCUGGCCUCUGUCUACGCAGCCACGUGUCCAGGAAGGACCAGGGACAAGCACUGUGGAGGAUGUUGGGGGAGGGCCCACAGCUGGAGUCUGGGCUGUGGGGUCUGGAGGUGAUCUCAUCCCCUGGUGAAGGUCCCCCAACUGUACAGAGAACCCACAGCAACGCUGGCAUCCCAUUAAAGAUGAGGGAAAACAGCUUUCUGGGCCCCAAGGGAAGCAGCUCUGCGCUUGCCCUCAGAGCCCAUCCCAGCCUGGACACGGAAGGUGUGUGGCAGGGUCCUCUGCACAGCUGCGGAGGGACCCGGAGGGAUCGCCCUGGCACGACAUUCCCACAGGGUGAGCCAGAGGCCCGCAGGAGUUUCCCUUCUGGCUCCAGGGGACCCCUGAGCCCCCAGAGGGCCAGUGCACCCGGACCCUGCUCCUCUUUGGGCUGCGAAUGUGGCUGGUGUACCCUGAGCUUUCCAAACCAGGAGACCAGGAAGCCCGGUGCUCCCUCCUCGGUGCUCCUCCCAGGCGGCCCUCCGCCAGCCCACAGCGCCAGGUUAUCAGGCCUCCUUCCUGACAGCACUGACCUCCCAGGCCUGAGUCUGGGCGAGAGCCCAUCUGUGUGCCGCCACCCAGGAGAGCACGGAGAGCAGGCCAGGCAGGGCAAACUGACCAGUGCAAUCCGUCCUCCCAUCCGUGGGGCCCCGACAGACCCAUUAAUUCCAGCAGCCCCUAUUCUGUGUCCUGACUGCGCUGGGCUCUGGGCCUCCCCCAGGUUCCCAAAGGUCACUUGGGUGGCCAGGAAGAGCCUCCUCCUCUUGGCCCCUGUAGUUGGGGAAGGAGCUCCCUCCCGCACUUCUGGGCGGCGGUGCUCCUCCCUGGUGGGCAGCCUGGCUGGCCCCUGCCGUCUCCACGAGGCUCCUGCCUGGGGCUGGUGGCAGGGGAGCUGGCCAGAGGGAGGGAGGGGCUCCGUCCUUAAGACGCACACUCUGGGCACAAGGCCACCCUUCCUCCCACGUCCAGGGCAUCCCGGCUCCCCCGGGGCCCCCAAGCCAGCGGCUGGUGUGGCUCCCCGGUCCCGUGCGCAGCCCCCAGCUGGGAGCAGGCGCCAAGUGCAGGGAGGAGCCCUCAGCUGCAGGCCGGCCUUACGGCUCCGGGCUCCAAUUCUCCCCAAGCUGCCCUUUCUCUGUCCAGAAACCUUUAGGAGGGGGGCUCCCGAGCCCAGCUCCCCCAGGCCCGCCCGGGCCACCCGCCCACCCGUCUGCCCAGCCUCGCUCUGGAGAAACAAGUGCCCCCACGGAUGGGAUGGCUGA